rnacentral:lncRNA from 1 species
CCAACUCUUCCUCUUUUUACUUCCCCUAUGGCUCGUCACUCCUUGCUCUUAGCCCUCCUCCUCUUCGCCGCCGUGGCCACCGCCGCGAUGGCGGUGGCCGCGUCCGACGCCGACGACAUCCUGAUCCGUCAGGUGGUGCCAGAUGUUGGCGAAGCCGAAGAGGAGGACAACCUGCUGAACGCCGAGCACCACUUCGCGAGCUUCAAGGCCAAGUUCGCCAAGACCUACGCCACCAAGGAGGAGCACGAUCAUCGCUUCGGCGUCUUCAAGUCCAACCUCCGCAGAGCCAGGCUGCACGCCAAGCUCGACCCCUCCGCCGUCCACGGCGUCACCAAAUUCUCCGAUCUAACUCCGGCCGAGUUCCGCCGCCAGUUCCUCGGCCUCAAGCCGCUCCGCUUCCCGGCGCACGCCCAGAAGGCGCCCAUCCUCCCCACCAAGGAUCUCCCCAAGGAUUUCGAUUGGCG